rnacentral:rRNA from 1 species
CCCGACCUAAAUGUCAAUACACUUACCGCACGGUGGGAUCAUUACCUAGAGUUGUAGGCUUUGCCUGCUAUCUCUUACCCAUGUCUUUUAAGUACCUUCGUUUCCUCGGCGGGUUCGCCCGCCGAUUGGACAAUUUAAACCAUUUGCAGUUGCAAUCAGCGUCUGAAAAAACUUAAUAGUUACAACUUUCAACAACGGAUCUCUUGGUUCUGGCAUCGAUGAAGAACGCAGCGAAAUGCGAUAAGUAGUGUGAAUUGCAGAAUUCAGUGAAUCAUCGAAUCUUUGAACGCACAUUGCGCCCCUUGGUAUUCCAUGGGGCAUGCCUGUUCGAGCGUCAUUUGUACCUUCAAGCUCUGCUUGGUGUUGGGUGUUUGUCUCGCCUCUGCGUGUAGACUCGCCUCAAAACAAUUGGCAGCCGGCGUAUUGAUUUCGGAGCGCAGUACAUCUCGCGCUUUGCACUCAUAACGACGACGUCCAAAAGUACAUUUUUACACUCUUGACCUCGGAUCAGGUAGGGAUACCCGCUGAACUUAA